GAUGUAACAAGUGCGGCGAUCACCCCCUCUCUAUCUAAGGUACAAAGUCAAUAUCAUAGUAGAAGAUGAAACAGGCUCAUUCGCUUUCACCCUCUUUGAAAGAGAUGUCAUUCAAUUGGAGUCUAUUAUGAAAGACAAUGAAGAAACUAUGAACUCAAUAACCGCUAUUCAUUAUGAUGAUACGGAUUUGGAACCAUCAAGUGCCAAGACCACCACAAAGAGAAGACGCAUUCUCAUUGAAAAUGAUGUUUCAAAUCCUUGAACCUGAGUGACAACUCUAUGUCUUUCCAUUAGUUAUGGCUAGAUCUAAAUCGCUUAUCUUGCUUUUUGCUUAAUAAAUUGGUAUGCAACGUUGUGCCAUCCAUUUUAACC